rnacentral:misc_RNA from 1 species
UAGAGCAAGCAGAAAGGAAGGGAAGGAGGAAGAAGAAAGGAGAGAGAGAAAGAAAGAGAGAAGAGGGAUUUCAUUAAUAUAAUUUUUCAAGAUACAGCCAUCGUUACAGAUCAGCUAUUAACAGAGACUCUUCAACUAGCUAAUCGUCUAGCAAAUUAACCACAUGUGCUUAACAGAAAAUCUAACAAAAUAACCAUUUUCAACAGAUCACAACAGCUUCUCAACCAUUUUCCUGCUUCUGCAACUGAUUUAUUCUUCUUCCUACAACUAGCAAGUGUGUGAAAAGACACCGUAGCAAGUAGCUUACUGAUUCUCUGAUAUCAACGACAUCAUAUCACAAACACAAGUAUGAAAUUAGAUAUUUAUAUUUUUGCCGCAUGACAGAUGUUACUAGAGAGAAGUUAUGUUUUCAUUAGUUCUCAACUAGUUUAAUCUGUAUGCCAUCCCCGAAUCCUAAUAUAGGAUCUCUUCUAACCUCAGCUUCCUUGAUCAUUGUCCACCUAUAUUUGGUGACCAAGACAUGGAGGAAUACAGACAAUGUCACUUUACUGAACUCUGCUCCAGCACACUGUCUUGUUCCUUUGCCAAAAGGUGUGAAAUUCUUAGACACGAUUGCAGAGCCAAUGUCCUUCCAGCGCCAGGGAUUAAACGCAAGUGGAUCCUUGUAUACAUCAGGAUUUAUUUGACAAGCAGAAGUGACCAUCAUUAUCGUCCAGUUAGCAGGAAUAGUAUAUCCUUUGAGAAGGGAAAAAAAAGUAUAAACUAAUAUUUUGAAAACAAGUAUAAACUCUUUGAACUAUAUUAGAAUGAAUUAAUUGCAAUACAGAAAUUUUAUGCCUUUGAAUUGAAAAUCUUUAAUCGCUUUUCGCAAUAGCCCUGGUACAACGUUUCCCAGCCUAAGAGUUUCGUUGAUGACCUGUAAGCAGUGCUUAGACAAUUGUUGAGAAAGAGAAAACGAAAGAAGAUACUGUAGAGAGAAUCACCUGAUGGGUAAAAGUCAUUGAUUUAUAUUGUUCCCAUGUGAUUGAUGAGGGAUCUGAACCUUUUUUAUUUUUGAGAAUUUUGACAUGCUCAGCCUUCAACUCUUGAACUACUUCUGGAUGGGCUGAAAGGAACUUGAACAUUAGUGUUGUGAUUGAUGAAAUUGACUCGGAGCUGGCAAACAGACCCCCAAACAUAAGCAUGCAUAUAAAAUCAUCUGUCAGGAACUUCUCCUUUUCCAUAUCAUUCAGGCACCGAUCGAGGACAUCUGCUCCACGCUUCUCAACAGUGUUGCGUCUCUCUACAAUAAUCUUUUUCAAAAUGGUCAUGGCCUUCCGGUGGUCCUGAAGACAUUGGUGGUAUGCAGUACCAGGAAUACUCAAGGGAAAUGAUAUAAGACCUUCUAUAAAUUUAGCAAAGGUCUCGCUAAGCUUUUCAGGUAAUUUUUCAGCAUCAUAACUGAAGAAAAUCUUCGCUGUAAAAUCGCAAACUGAAAA